rnacentral:rRNA from 1 species
GAUGAACGCUGGCGGCGUGCCUAAUACAUGCAAGUCGAGCGAAUGGAUUAAGAGCUUGCUCUUAUGAAGUUAGCGGCGGACGGGUGAGUAACACGUGGGUAACCUGCCCAUAAGACUGGGAUAACUCCGGGAAACCGGGGCUAAUACCGGAUAACAUUUUGAACCGCAUGGUUCGAAAUUGAAAGGCGGCUUCGGCUGUCACUUAUGGAUGGACCCGCGUCGCAUUAGCUAGUUGGUGAGGUAACGGCUCACCAAGGCAACGAUGCGUAGCCGACCUGAGAGGGUGAUCGGCCACACUGGGACUGAGACACGGCCCAGACUCCUACGGGAGGCAGCAGUAGGGAAUCUUCCGCAAUGGACGAAAGUCUGACGGAGCAACGCCGCGUGAGUGAUGAAGGCUUUCGGGUCGUAAAACUCUGUUGUUAGGGAAGAACAAGUGCUAGUUGAAUAAGCUGGCACCUUGACGGUACCUAACCAGAAAGCCACGGCUAACUACGUGC